rnacentral:rRNA from 1 species
AAUGAACGCUGGCGGCAUGCCUAAUACAUGCAAGUCGAGCGAACAAACGGAGAUCUUUCUCCUCUUCCGUUGGCGACGGGCGAGUAAUUACCACGUGUAUGACCUACCUAUAAGACUAAGAUAACUUCACGGGACCUAAUCUAGUACCUGAUAACAUGUUGAACCUCAGGGAUCAACGGUGACAAACGUUCUUGCUGUCACUUAUACGUAGAUCCUCGCCGGAUUAGCUAGUUGGUACGGUAACGGCCUACCAAGGCAACGAUGCGUAGCUGACCUGAGAGGAUGAUCAGUCACACUGGAACUGAGACACGGUCCAGACUCCUACGGGAGGCAGCAGUGGGGAAUAUUGGACAAUGGGCGAAAGCCUGAUCCAGCCAUGCCGCGUGAGUGAAGAAGGUCUUCGGAUUGUAAAGCACUUUAAGUUGGGAAGAAGGGCAGUAAGUUAAUACCUGGCUGUUUUGACGGUACCAACAGAAUAAGCACCGGCUAACUUCGUG